ACUCUGGGGUUUGAGUAUCCUUGUUAAACAGCGUUUUAACUAAAACUCUGAGGUUUCAGAAUCCUUGUUAAACAGCGUUUUGACUAAAAAUCUGUAUUCAAAGAAAAAAAGAAAAAAAAAAGGUUUGAGUCCUUGUCAGAUACCAGCUUGACUAAAGAAGUUAUAAGGGUUAGAGUCCCAGUUGACAGAGUUUCAACUAAAGGCAAAAGGUAAGGCUUUUAGAGCCGCCUUACUUAGAGGACACCUCUUAAGGGUAAGUCCUCACGUAGAUAGGAAGCUUAAUAUUACUGUUCUGUUAUUACUGUGCUGAUAUUGCUGUUUGUCUGCUGCUUUGAUAUGUGUGUGUGCGUGAAAGAGUGAUUGGAGGUUUAAAUACUGCUCUGUAUUUUACCUCAUAUAA